UGUGGCAUCUGCAGUAGACCCAGAGCAUUUGUCUCCUUCCUCCCUCACUUUUCAAUGUGUGUCCCUUCUGAAAAUGUGUGCUACACUGAAGAGGAUGACCUUCCCUGAUAGAGACAUCCCGUUCAUUGGUCAAGGGCGUAAGGCAGUUUACUCCACUGCUAGAAUCUCCAAACAAGCUCAAAGUUCUUUUGUAGAAAAAUGUAAGGUAGACGAGUGGUAAUGAACUGGAACAGGCUGCCCAGGGAAGGGGUGGAGUCAUCAUCC
rnacentral:snRNA from 1 species